rnacentral:rRNA from 1 species
UAAACGAUGUCGAUUUGGGGGUUGAGCUUUAAGUUUGGCGCCCGUAGCUAACGUGAUAAAUCGACCGCCUGGGGAGUACGGCCGCAAGGUUAAAACUCAAAUGAAUUGACGGGGGCCCGCACAAGCGGUGGAGCAUGUGGUUUAAUUCGAUGCAACGCGAAGAACCUUACCUACUCUUGACAUCCAGAGAACUUUCCAGAGAUGGAUUGGUGCCUUCGGGAACUCUGAGACAGGUGCUGCAUGGCUGUCGUCAGCUCGUGUUGUGAAAUGUUGGGUUAAGUCCCGCAACGAGCGCAACCCUUAUCCUUUGUUGCCAGCGGUCCGGCCGGGAACUCAAAGGAGACUGCCAGUGAUAAACUGGAGGAAGGUGGGGAUGACGUCAAGUCAUCAUGGCCCUUACGAGUAGGGCUACACACGUGCUACAAUGGCGCAUACAAAGAGAAGCGACCUCGCGAGAGCAAGCGGACCUCAUAAAGUGCGUCGUAGUCCGGAUUGGAGUCUGCAACUCGACUCCAUGAAGUCGGAAUCGCUAGUAAUCGUAGAUCAGAAUGCUACGGUGAAUACGUUCCCGGGCCUUGUACACACCGCCCGUCACACCAUGGGAGUGGGUUGCAAAAGAAGUAGGUAGCUUAACCUUCGGGAGGGCGCUUACCACUUUGUGAUUCAUGACUGGGGUGAAGUCGUAACAAGGUAACCGUAGGGGAACCUGCGGUUG